rnacentral:lncRNA from 1 species
GUGAGGGUGCGUUGAAUCUGUGGCCACUCAUCUUUCAAGGCUUGAGCACAUAGGGAAGUUAACCCAUGUAUAAAUUGACCUAAAGAAGUUCAGACCAUGUGGUUCUUGCUUUUCCACUCAAACCUCACCCGAGUUCUCCCUUUACGGGUUCAGUGUUACAGCAUGCUCAGUUUAGUUAACUGCAGGCUGUGAAUCCUUUCCUGCUGGCACUCUGAGCACUUCCCUCCUGGCUGCUUGGCUAUUUGUUCCCCUCUCCUUUUCAAAGGACACGGUGUGGCUGCUGAGUAUAUCAGUUUGGGUCACUGAUCCACAGAAAAGUACCAAAAAGUUUUCCUUUUGAGUUUCCUUCCUGACUUCUCCAAGCUUUAACAGAGGAAUCCAGACUUCUACACAGGCCAGGUUAAAUGCAAUACAAAUUUAUGCCAUGAUAUAAAACAAACUUCUAGGUUAUACUACUUGUAAGGAAACCAGAUCUGAUCUGAAACAGUUUAAUGGAGCCUACUAUAACAAGACUAGUUCAACUAAACGGCAAAACUUUCCCAAGUGGACAAGUCCUCAUGGAAAUAAUUAACAAUGGCGUGAGAAGUCUUUUACACAGAACCUGAAUGAAGGAAAAGGAGUUGAAGCAGUUGUGGGCCUUCCAGUGUCAAUCAAAGGACUGAAGCAAGAGCAUUGUCCUGUUGCAUAAGGUGCUGCAAAAGCUCCAGGCAGUCCAGCCACAUUCAACUUGCUGCAUUUAAGGUUAUUUUGGAAGCAUCAUUCAAC